rnacentral:rRNA from 1 species
GGUUCAUUCAAAUUCUGCCCUAUCAACUUUCGAUGGUAGAGUAGUGGUCUACCAUGGUGUGUGCAACGGGUAACGGGGAAUUAGGGUUCUAUUCCGGAGAGGGAGCCUGAGAAACGGCUACCACAUCCAAGGAAGGCAGCAGGCGCGCAAAUACCCAAUCCCGACACGGGGAGGUAGUGACAAUAAAUACUGAUACAGGGCUCUUUUGGGUCUUGUAAUUGGAAUGAGUACAAUUUAAAUCCCUUAACGAGGAACAAUUGGAGGGCAAGUCUGGUGCCGGCAGCCGCGGUAAUUCCAGCUCCAAUAGCGUAUAUUAAAGUUGUUGCAGUUAAAAAGCUCGUAGUUGAACUUCAGAUCUGGUUGAGUGGUCCGCCUAACGGUGUGUUACUGCUUGACUGGGUCUUGUCUCUUGGUGAACCGUUGUGUUCUUUAUUGGAUGCUUCGGGGAACCAGGACUUUUACCUUGAGAAAAUUCAAGAGUGUUCAAAGCAGGCCUAUGCCCGAAUACAUUAGCAUGGCAUAUAGAA